UGGAGCUUGGCCCCCACCGAAACAAUCACCACUACCCCUCCGCUACAUAAAAACCGCCUCCUCUGAGACCCUAGCCCCCCCCCCCCCACCUUCCCCAAAGACUACCCCUCUUAUACCCCCAAAAUUCACGCUUAUUCGCCAGCGUGUUAAUAUAGAGAGAUUUUUUUGUUUUCCAAACGUGCAUUAUCGGAGAUUUCAAAAUGGAAGACAGCUACAGGCCGGAGACACCGCCGGGAAGUUGCACUAAUGAGUUGACCCGGUUGAAUUCAAGCGCGUCAUCUUUAACUUUUGCCAAUUCCAACGAUACUUUGCUGCCGAGUGGAAAUGCUACCACGGUAAUAUUUCCUUUUUUUCCGAUUCUGCGGCCGUGUAUAUUUAUGUAUUUGCUUAGAAAUUUUGUGAUGCAGCCGAAAAUCUGCUUAUACUUUGCCUGUGGUACCCGUAACUUAUAAAAUAUAUAUAUUUGACUGAUAUUUAUUUGUUUCAAUUUUCCGAUGUGAUCUUUAUAGCUAGAUGAAAAACUAUGUAGCUACAAUUAUUUUGUUGCUGGAGAAGGAUUGGAGGAAGAAAUUAAAUAAAAAGGUUCACUAAUUUAGAGAUCUAGGUUGAGGAUUUUAUGCGUGAUGUUUGUGCUUAAUUCAACUCUGUUUUAUUUUAUCUGGUUAAGGGAAUAACUAGCAUGAGCUAAGUGUGUUUUUAGAGUUGGAAAAAGUGGAGUGGUGUUUAUUUCUGGUGGAUAAGGAAAAAUGAGUUUUUGUGGCAAGGGUUUCGUCUAUCCUGCAGACUACGGUUUGUGCACUUCUUUCUCUGCUGAGCCUUGAUAUUUCUCCGUUCUGAUCCACCUCUUCUAUCUUGUGGAGAAAGAGGGAGAGGGUUGUCGUUCACUGAAAGCACACGCAAAUGUUGCUUAAUGCUUGUUUAUGGGAUUUUCUGUAAAAUGAGCAUCCUGGCCUGAAGAUAAACAUUAGAGGUUGUAGAUGUCUAGAUGAUCAAUCAUGAAUAUUUAGCUUGUCAUUCCAAAAUAACUAUUUUCAUGUCUACUUAAAAAGAAUUUUACCCGCUUGAGCAUUAAUUGACACUCUGUUGUCAGGGUCUUUAUUGGACACUUCCACCUUUAGAUUCAACUACUCUAUGAAGGCUUGCCUAAAACAUUUUGGGAUGUCAUUAGGGUAAACUUGGUGUAUCUGGCUGAAACUGUCUUGUGCUAGUUGUUUUUGGGAAUAUCAGAUUCUGUAUGCAUUUUCAGUAAUGGACCUAAUGGUUAAUCAGCUGCUAGUAAAAAGAAUUGCAGUUAGUAAGUUCUGGUACCUGAUGGGAGGUAGAAACUACCCAGUGGAAUAGUCGAGGUAGAAGCAAGUUGGCUCGGACACCUAAAAAAGAAGAGGUUACAACAUUGUCAAAGAACCCAAAUUUCUUUAAAUCCAUUACCAAAAAUGUAGCUAUUGAAUGCUCAAAACUUUUGUCACACUUCUUGGUUACCUAUGCAUUAAUCGUGCACAUGCAGCUAAUAUCAAUGAUCUGAAAAUUGAUUCAAUUUUUUUGUUGAAUCUGCAUGUGUGUAUUGUUUUAUAAAUGAUUGUACUAUAAAUUUUGAGAACGGAAUUUCUUCUUCUAAAAGGUGCUCCUGUGGGACUACCUUUCUUCUCAGAGAUUUUAGACCCCCUACGUCUCUAGGCUUUCAUUUAACCGUUAAUCUGAUAGUGCUUGCAAGAUUUACACAUUGUUUGCAUAUAGUGAAUCCACAACAGCGAUCUAAUGAGCACUCCUUAGCAGUUACUUGUUUGGUUCCAGCUGAUGUGAUAAAGUUUGACAUCAAGCAUGCAAAGGGUAACUGCAAAGUAGGGGAACAACUGAGUUAUGAAUUCUUCAGUUCAAGCAUGGAAUUGACUAUCUAUAUUUAAGUGUAUUUCUGUUUAAGUGUGUUUCUAUAGGAUGAUUGAAGUUCAACAUAUUUCUUAAACCUAGCUUUAUUAGAUUUUAAAUGAGAUGCUUUCAGAUUUCCUGAUAGAGAUAUCCUUAUUGUAAGCUUGUACGUGGCGGAUUAAAUUAUUGCAUGCAAUAACUAUUAAAUCAAAGUUCUUGGAGACAGAUUUCGGAUUUGUUUCCUAUUUUCUUGGCGUUGAAAUUUCUCAGAUUUUGGAAUUUUUGUUUCUAAGAACACAUUUCUCGGCUAUAGUUGAGAAGGUUUGAUGUAAAACUUAUGACUCGUUUUGAAGAAAAGUAGGAUUUACAAAAGAUGCUGCUAGUGAAUUAUUCAUGAUACAUUCUAGGACAGCUCACAUUUUUCUUAAGAAACUUAUUGUAUAGAAAUAAUCAGAUUCAUAUUGGAAGAAAUUGCACGUGAAGAAACUUCGUUGGUGUAGAAAGGAAACAAAGAAAGAGUGCAAGCAUACCAGUGAAUUCCUAUUGAUG
rnacentral:lncRNA from 1 species